GACAGCGCUGUGUCUGUGUCCGGAUGUCGCCUCUGUCCCCUCCUUCCCCGCGGACGCCAAGGAGCGCGCGCAGCGGCUGCUGGAGGCGUGUGCCGGACGCAGCGUGGGCGCGUACAGCGCCAGCCCCGGGAUCCCGCUGGUCCGCGAGCACGUGGCGCGCUACAUCCAACGUCGCGACGGUGUCCCCGCCAACGCCGACGACAUCUUCCUGUCCACCGGGGCCAGCGACGCCAUCGUGACCAUCCUGAAGCUGCUGGUGUCCGGCUCGGGCUCGUCUCGUACCGGGGUGCUGAUCCCGAUCCCGCAGUACCCGCUGUCCCCAAUGUCCCCA